AUUGAACGCUGGCGGCAGGCCUAACACAUGCAAGUCGAACGGUAACAGGAAGCAGCUUGCUGCUUCGCUGACGAGUGGCGGACGGGUGAGUAAUGUCUGGGAAACUGCCUGAUGGAGGGGGAUAACUACUGGAAACGGUAGCUAAUACCGCAUAACGUCGCAAGACCAAAGAGGGGGACCUUAGGGCCUCUUGCCAUCGGAUGUGCCCAGAUGGGAUUAGCUAGUAGGUGGGGUAACGGCUCACCUAGGCGACGAUCCCUAGCUGGUCUGAGAGGAUGACCAGCCACACUGGAACUGAGACACGGUCCAGACUCCUACGGGAGGCAGCAGUGGGGAAUAUUGCACAAUGGGCGCAAGCCUGAUGCAGCCAUGCCGCGUGUAUGAAGAAGGCCGUCGGGUUGUAAAGUACUUUCAGCGGGGAGGAAGGGAGUAAAGUUAAUACCUUUGCUCAUUGACGUUACCCGCAGAAGAAGCACCGGCUAACUCCGUG
rnacentral:rRNA from 1 species